UAAAUGCUAUUUGGUUUCAGGUCCCU
rnacentral:piRNA from 1 species